rnacentral:lncRNA from 1 species
UCAAAAUGACUUAGCUGAGGAUAUUCAGCAAUUCAAACACAUAUGGACAACAUAUAGUCAACAGUUUUAACACAGUCACAGAUAUUACAACUUUUAGGCAUAGAGAACUGUCCAGCCACACAUGAAACAACUAAAACUAAUUCUAACUUUCAAAAACCUACACAUUGUGACUGAAUUAUAGAGUAAAGCACCAAUUUUACAUAAUCUUAAACAGCUGGAAAGAAGCUACAAAACAAAAGAAAGAAAAUAGAAGACAUUAAAAAAAAAGAACUGUAGUUUUCUAUUCCAAGCCAACAUAUUAUAGCUUCACUUUUGCAUUCCAAGGCUCAUGAAGAUACCUUGACACAACAAAUAGAAGAAAAAAACCCUGAAGUCAACAUAGAUGAACAAGAACAGAAGGCUAACAACAACAGUAUCAACGAACAACAACCUCAAAUUUACUCCAUAUUCAAAAUUAGCUACCAGAAAUCUAGAGACAGUUGUUUUGGUAAGUUUUGCUAAGGGAAAUUCAAAGAAAUGGAACCAACUAUCAAAGAAAAAAAUGUGCUAAACCUUUUUCAGUCUCUUUUUAGGGUCUAAAAAAUCUCCUCCUAAUGAAAGAAAAAGGAAUCCUAUUUAUAGGGUAUCAAAUAUGCUAUGUGCUGAAAAGAAAAAAAAUGAAAUUAUUCCCUUCAGCCCACCCCUAAAUUUCAAGAAAAAAGAAUCUUUCAUAUCUGAAAU